AUGGCGAUGGAUCUGCAGCGUCAGCAGCCGCUCCACCUCGGGUUCCCUGACCCUUCUUCUCUAGGCUGGGCAGAGCAACCAUGGCGGCGGAUCCGCAGCGUCCAUGGCCGCUCCACCUCGGGCAGCGCGGAUCACGGCCAGCGGCCCGAUGGAGGCGGGUACCGGCGCGGUUGCUGUUCUGCCCUGCGCUCCCUCCAUGUCUCCUCCUGCGCCUCCGGUGGCCAGACGCUUCUUCGACUCCGGCCUAGGGGCACCCUCAUCGUUAGCGGAUUUAUAUUUCUCAGGUCAGACAGUGUGCAGCCACACAUGGUCAACAUCCAGUUUCAGAAGAAUGUACUGCUGCAGCUUGUUACUCUCUACAUGGAUUUCAAGUUGGAUGAGAGCUACACACCGAGCAAGAUCUCCAUCUGGACUGGCGACCGCUUCCACAAUCUCAAGGCAAUUCCUCUUUUCUGA
rnacentral:rRNA from 1 species